CUCGGAAAGUGAAGCUUAACCAACUUUGAAAACCAAGGCGCGGAUGCCAAGAACAAUACUCAACCGAGAAGGAACUCGGCACUAGCUUUUAGGCAUAAUCAGCAAUGGCGGACAUAGAGGACGAAACUGCAGUAGUAAGUUAAGGAGAUGGAUAUUCCUGAUAAUUCCAAUACAGUUCAGUGGAGAUAUCAAAAGUUGGAAAUAAAGAUACAUGUAUUGAAUAGCAUUUAAGCAAUAUUGCUGUCUUCUUUGUUUUAUAAUAUAUUCAUUUGCCCAAUGUGUACAAUCAAUGGUACAAACAUGAACAUUCCUUAUUUAAGUCUGUAAAUAUAAUCUUGAUUCAGUUUAGAAUUCCAAUGUAUUUAGCAGUUGUGACAGUAUUCUCCAGUGAAUUUUAAUUUAUACAAUUUGCAGACUCUUAGUUCUAAAAGAUAGAUUACAAAAGAAUGGCAAUUGAUUUAAUUAUGUGAGAUGCAAGUGUAGAUAAUUAAAAGUAAUUAAUUGAAAUGAAUUAAUUGUUCUUCAGAAUAUGCCGCAUUYGURAUGAUGUAGCACAGUUUAGUGUGAUGUUUGUGCUGCUGAAGUCUAUCUGUUUUUAUGUCAAAAAAUUAUGAUGAGGAACACAUAAACCCAAUACUAAUUAGCACAAAUUAAAACUAUUAAAUGAUACCAAAACAGGGCUUUUUUCYCUUAGGAGUAAUCAUUAUUAACUCUCUUCAGUACUACAAGUACUAAUGAAUGCUUUAGUGUUUCCAUAUUGUGUAAGAUCGGUGUAGUUCRGUUUAUAUUACUUGUAAAUGUUUCUUGCAUAUAAACCGACUGCAURCAGUCCAGGAAUUAAAGUGAGUUGAAAUUAGUGUAUUUAUAAAUAGUCAUUGCUACCCAUUUCAUGGGGAUCAAAAUUAUAUAUUCUCUUAGAUAGAAAAAAUUUAGAAAGGCUCAUCCAGACUCGUACUCAGUCACUUCUCUCGAACAAUGAUGCAUGAAGAGAAGGGCGAAGGAUCUCUCCUUCCCAUCAACCCAUUUGAGCAUAAAGUAAAACAUAACGACUGGGUGCGAAUCUGAGGCUCAUCAAUGUUGCCUUGUUUCCUAUUAAAUUGAUUGUAUUAAAUUCACUGAUUAAAAGGCUUACCAUCAUCUUAGAGGAUGGAUAUGGUGCCCAUUUGUCUUGA